CCUACGGGUGGCAGCAGUGGGGAAUAUUGGGCAAUGGGCGCAAGCCUGACGCAGCAACGCCGCGUGAAGGAAGAAGGAUUUCGGGUUGUAAACUUCUUUUCUCAGGGACGAAGAAAGUGACGGUACCUGAGGAAUAACCCACGGCUAACUACGUGACAGCAGCCGCGGUAAUACGUAGGCAGCAAGCGUUAGCCGGCGUUAUGGGGUGUAAAGGGCGUGUAGGCGGGAACGCAAGUCAGAUGUGAAAACUCAGGGCUGAACCCUGAGACUGCAUUUGAAACUGUGUUUCUUGAGUGCUGGAGAGGUAAGCGGAAUUCCGUGUGUAGCGGUGAAAUGCGUAGAUAUAAGGAGGAACACCAGUGGCGAAGGCGGAUUGCUGGACAGUAACUGACGCUGAGGCGCGAAAGCGUGGGGAGCAAACAGGAUUAGAUACCCCUGUAGUC
rnacentral:rRNA from 1 species